rnacentral:rRNA from 1 species
AUUGAACGCUGGCGGCAUGCCUUACACAUGCAAGUCGAACGGUAACAGGUUAAGCUGACGAGUGGCGAACGGGUGAGUAAUAUAUCGGAACGUGCCCAGUCGUGGGGGAUAACUGCUCGAAAGAGCAGCUAAUACCGCAUACGCCCUGAGGGUGAAAGCGGGGGCUCGCAAGACCCCGCGCCAUUGGAGCCGCCGAUAUCAGAGUAGGUAGUUGGUGGGGUAAAAGCCUACCAAGCCAACGAGCUGUAGCUGGUCUGAGAGGACGACCAGCCAGAGUGGGACUGAGACACGGCCCAGACUCCUACGGGAGGCAGCAGUGGGGAAUUUUGGACAAUGGACGCAAGUCUGAUCCAGCCAUGCCGCGUGCGGGAAGAAGGCCUUCGGGUUGUAAACCGCUUUUGUCAGGGAAGAAAAGGUUCUGGAUAAUACCUGGGACUCAUGACGGUACCUGAAGAAUAAGCACCGGCUAACUACGUGCCAGCCGCCGCCGUAA